GACAGAGGCCCCAAGCGUUAGGCGGAAUCACUGGGCUUAAAGCGCGUGUAGGCGGAUCGUUAAGUGCCUUGUGAAAUCCUGCGGCUCAACCGCAGAACUGCUGGGCAUACUGGCGAUCUUGGGCCACUCAGGGGUCACUGGAACAAGCGGUGGAGCGGUGAAAUGCGUAGAUAUCGCUUUGGAACGCCAAAGGUGAAGACAGGUGACUGGGGGGUGUGGC
rnacentral:rRNA from 1 species